GGGCCCGUAGCUCAGCGGAAGAGUAUAUUGGGGUAUUCCCCCAAUAUCUUCAACGCCCGGCUGUUAACCGGAAGGUCGUGGGUUCGAGUCCCACCGGGCCCG
rnacentral:tRNA from 1 species